UGGGGAAUAUUGGACAAUGGGCGCAAGCCUGAUCCAGCCAUGCCGCGUGCAGGAAGAAGCAUCUAUGGUGUGUAAACUGCUUUUGUACGGGAAGAAACACUCCUUCGUGAAGGAGCUUGACGGUACCGUAAGAAUAAGGAUCGGCUAACUCCGUGCCAGCAGCCGCGGUAAUACGGAGGAUCCAAGCGUUAUCCGGAAUCAUUGGGUUUAAAGGGUCCGUAGGCGGUUUAGUAAGUCAGUGGUGAAAGCCCAUCGCUCAACGAUGGAACGGCCAUUGAUACUGCUAGACUUGAAUUAUUAGGGGGUAGCUAGAAUAUGUAGUGUAGCGGUGAGAUGCUUAGAUAUUACGUGGAAUACCGGUUGCGAAGGCAGGUUACUACUAAUGGAUUGACGCUGAUGGACGAAAGCGUGGGGAACGAACA
rnacentral:rRNA from 1 species